rnacentral:rRNA from 1 species
CACGUAGUUAGCCGUGGCUUCCUCCUCAGGUACCGUCAUCAUCGUCCCUGAAGACAGAGCUUUACAACCCGAAGGCCGUCAUCACUCACGCGGCGUUGCCGCAUCAGGGUUUCCCCCAUUGUGCAAUAUUCCCCACUGCUGCCUCCCGUAGGAGUCUGGGCCGUGUCUCAGUCCCAAUGUGGCCGAUCACCCUCUCAGGUCGGCUACGCAUCGUCGCCUUGGUGAGCCGUUACCUCACCAACUAGCUAAUGCGCCGCGGGCCCAUCUCAUAGCGGAUUGCUCCUUUAAUGCUACUUCAUGCGAAGCUACAAUCUUAUGCGGUAUUAAUCUCCUUCGGAAGGCUAUUCCCUCUAUGAGGCAGGUUGCCCACGUGUUACCUCACCCAUCCCGCCGUCUACGUCUUUGUUCCGAAGUAACUCCACUCGCUCGACUUGCUAUGUGUUAGGCACCGCCGCCAGUCCGUUCGUCCUGAGCCAGGACUCGAAACCUCUAC